rnacentral:lncRNA from 1 species
CUUUCUAAAUCAAAUGCAUGUCCAUUCUAAUUAAUACUAACCAAUACCUUUAAGCCAGAGAUAGUAAAUACGUGAAAGAUGUGCCACCACUACCACCUCCUGUGCAUAUAGCAGACAUAACUAAUCAAUUAUAGUACUUUCAGAAUCCUCCUUCACACAAGGCUCCAGGCUGCCAUUACAUAGAGACAGAGGGCAGCUCUAUUUUGACAGAGCCCCCUGUGGGUAGGUUCCCCACUUGGAGCACUCGCAGCCUCCCAGCCUGACUCAAGGUGUUUCAGGAAGCAUAAGGAAAUAAAGGGCUUAAGAAAAACUCCUGCCAGGAGAUCUUGGGGGUAAGACCAGGCAAGAGAGGAGGAACGUCCAUUCUAAGUUCCUGAGCUGGAUCUCAGCCGCCUGUUCCCUCUCCUCCUCAGCCCUUGUUCCUUGCCUCUGCGGGGCCUGUCCCAGCCACACUCCUACAGGGACCAUCAUAAAGACACUUGUUAGCAGUGACAGUGACCACAGCAAGUGAAUGCUGGACUGGGUGCCAGUGAUUGACUCACAAAGGAAAGCAGACAAUGGACCAGGGAAGGGCACCCCCACCGGCACUGGAGAGCGGGCAAGCUUUCCAAGUUCAUGGGGAGGAUUCCUGGCAAAGGGGGAACCUAGCAGAAAAUCCACGACUUACGGCAGAGAGAGCUGCGGCAUGGCCGAGGCAGGAGGAGAGAAAGGGGAGCUACACUGGGCCAGGAGGCUGCCCUGCAGACGUUAUUUUAUUACGUCCUGGCCGCUGCACUGUGUAUUUUUAUUUCCAAUACACAGAUACGAAAAGUGAGUCUCAGAGAAGCUAAAUAAAUUGCCUCGGUUCACAAAGCUAGCAAGCGGCAAGUGGCCCAGUGAAAUGGAGCCCAUCCCCACAAUUCCACUCCCAGAUAUCUAUAAACCAGAAGUGUGCACAGGAGUUUGCCAAAAGAUGAGGACAAGCUAUUCAUAACACACUAUCUGCUUUUUUGUUGGUGAGGAAGAUUGGCCCUGAGCUAACAUGUGUUGCCAAUCUUCCUCUCUUUGUUUGAGGAAGACUAUCACCAAGCUAAUAUCUAUGCCAAUCUUCCUCCACUCUGUAUGUGGGACAGCGCCACAGCAUGGCUUGAUGAGCGGUUUGUAGGUCCGCAUCCGGGAUCCAAAUCUGUGAACCCCAGGCCACUGAAGUGGAGCACGCAAACCCAACCACACUACCACCAGGCUGGCCCCAUAACGCACUAUUUGUAAUAGCCAAUCCAGAAACGCUCCACGUGUUCUUCAGGAGAGUAGGUAAAUUAUGGAAAAGUCAGACAAUGGAAUACUAUACAGUCGUGAGAAGCAGCAAACUAACUACCCAAGUCAACAUGGGUAAAUCUCACAUAAUGUGAAAUUCAGUUUACACGAUGUUUAAAAAAGGCAAAACAAAUCUAUGGUGUUUGAAGUCAGGGUGGUGUUUACCCUUGGUUGGGGGACGGGGUUUACAGGGUGCUCGUCGUCUUGUAUUUCUUGAUCUGCGUGCUGAUUACGCGAGUGUGUUCUUUGUGAAAAUUCAUCCAGCUGUCCACUUGGGGUUUGUGUGGUUUCCUGUACGUUGAACUCCACGGAAAGUCUUUAAAGACUGACCCUGUACCUAACACAUCUGCUUUAUCUACUGCACGACCCCCCUUCCCAGGCUGGUAAGUACGAAACAGACGAUUACAUGGAACAGGGCACCACUAAAGCGCCAGCCUUCAAGUCCAAGACUGGGCUCGAGUCCUGACUUGACCACUUUCUAGUAACUUCCGCUCAGAGCAGUCAACUGAAACAAGCACAUGAACUUCUCCUUUGCAGGGUUUCUUGUGCGUGAGAAAGGAACGAGAAGGCAUUUGGCAAUAACAUCCUAAGAGCCAUAUUUUCUGAGCCCCGAGGGGGUGCCAGUGUUCUCUCCAACCCCUUCAGCAACUCUGAAAGGUUCCGGGUUCUCCCACUCUGUAGCCGAGGAGGCCAGGGCUCGGAGCAGGAAAGAGUCACAAGCUGUAACAGCCAGGCUGGGAUUCACACCCAGGACUGUCUGAGCCCAAGUCAGAGCUUUAUCCACGGCUGCAGGGGAGGCACGGAAAGCUUGCCCCGAGUCCCGGAGGACAACCAAGACACGGGCACAGUCACAAUGGCUCUGGAUCCCCCACUCCUUCAUCCCACUCGUUUCUAGCAAAGUUCCAAGUCUUCUAAGUCCCUCCCCCACCCUGCUAAGCCCGGUGCAUGGCUCCUUUUCCUCAGGGCUUUUUGGUGGACAUGAGUCUACCUUCUGUAUCAGCUAGUUACUGCCACAUCAAUGCUGAGUAACAAACCACCCCAACAUUCAGUGGCUUAAAAAACAUUCUUAUCACGUGUCAUUUGGGGCUUGGCUAAUCUAGGUCCACAAAAAGCAGCAGACAGAAAAACCAAGAUGUUGGGUACUUGGACAAGAGGAUUAGCAUGUAACAAAAAUGGGACACACUCUUUUCAGAUGCACAAGGAACAUUUUCAAAAUCGAUCCUAUGCCCGACCGUAAGGCAAGUCUCAACAAAUUUCAAAGACGUGAAGCCACACAGGCUAUGUUUCCUGACUACAGGCGAAUUAAGCUGGAAAUCAACAGUUAAAAAUGACAAAGCCUUCCCCACCCCUCUGGUCCUGGCUGCCCCGGGCUUCUCUCUCAAUCACAUCGCUUCACGGCAGACGCAACGCUUACUGAGCGUCCACUGGGCUCAGGCCUGGGCAGCUCUCUGGACACGGUGCCAGGACUGUCUCAGAGAGGAGACAGACCUCCUCCCAACUGACCUUUCUGGAGGGCGUUUGAAACUCAGGCUCUGCCCCUGCGCUAUCAGACUGUCCCAUUCGUUACGUACUUUAACCUAAAUACCUACGGCUUAGCCCUAGUUAAUAUAUAAGUAAAAUACCUUCAUCCUGACCAGCUGGGACCGCCGGUCUGUAUCAGUGAAAAGUUUGGUUCUCAGUUCAUAUCAAAACUCAGCUUUAAUUUCAAACAUGUGUGGCCAAGGGCGGAAACAUGAAAUCCAUCUGAGAGAGAGUUAAAUCACUAUCAUCACUAAAUCAGAGGCUCGGUGAUCUCUGGAAACAGCUGGAACACAGAACUGAUUCACGCUCAAGGCAGCCGAGAAAGCGGCGAGUUCAGGCAAUCAGACGCCCAAGCUAACCCUGGCCUGUCAGCUACCUGUUCUAGGACCCCGAUGUCCCCACAAACCAGCUUCCCACGCACCCUGGUCCUUCCUUUGGUGUCAGAUAUGACAAGGGGAGAAUUUUCUCUCUGGGUAAAGAAUCUUUUUUUUCACAACUGCUGUCCAUCCAUGGAGCUGGAUGCCGAGCAAUAGAGUCACCUCUCCCCAUCAGUGGAGGUGUUUGAAGAACGGCCAGACAACAGCAUGACGGGACUGCUGAAGAGGGGGCCUGGGAAACAGAAAAAUAUUUCUAAAGGACCUUCCAAGACCUUCAACAAAUCUGGGCCACUUUCCCCGCUGCUGCGAACACAUCAAUGGCCACCAGGUGGCGACAGAGUCACACCAUCAUUGCAAAGGCUUUAAUAACCCAGAAUAGAGGUUUCUCGAAAAUACCAGGAAUCUAAUUGAAACAAAACGUAAACAACUAAAAUUAAAGAUAGGAUUACCAUACGAUCCAUCAAUCCCACUCCUGGGUAUGUAUCCAAAAGGACUGAAAGCAAGAUUGCGAAGAUAUUUGCACGCCCAUGUUCACAGCAGCUCUGUUCACAGCAGAUGAGAGUCUGGCAUGGAGGAGAGAUCUGGGAUUGUCUGUCAUGAGAGAGACUGCGAAUCAGACCUUCAGUCACUGUGUCCCCGGGCACCCCAGGACAGGUAAGUGUCGAUGGAGAACAUGUUCUGGCACAGGGCGUCCUGCAUAUGGGAGGGGGUGGGGCAUGACUCUGGGAAGAGGCCUCCAGGCUCUUGAAGGGGUUGUGUCUGGGUGGCUGGAGUGGAAGAAGUGGGAGAUUCCACCUCCUGAGACACACGUACAACUCUCAGACCAUGGACAAUUUUUGGUCAGGCCCUGUGGCCACACAGCAGAAAGCCAGGUCUCCCCUUGGCCUUGUCAAGAGAGCGACCCCACCUUGAGUGGUCUUGAUGAGAAUCAAGGCUGCCCCUGCCCCGAGGAGAGAAGUCCAAGGCAUCCUGCCCUACAUACCGAUCUAUAUCAUCCUCCAGGAAGCAUAGGACAGACAUCUCGACCUGAUCCGAUCUGAUUCUUAUCUAAAGUUAUAGGACCACCCGAUAACCAGACCCCACAUGAACUGAUACCAUUUUAAUGACUUUUUUUUUUAGCAUAAUCUUUCCUUUGUCUUGUAAAGAAAUAACUCACAUACCUAUGCCUUAUAAAUUUAGCCCUGCCCUCAACCCAUUGUAGCUCUUACUGUCCACGGGUCCUGUCCCCGUGCCUGCAGCUCUUACUGCCCACGGGUCCUGUCCCCAUGCUAUUCCAUGCUAUUCUCUGAAUAAAAGAGCAUGACUGCCAGAACUUGAGAGUCCAAGAAAUUUUUCUGUCAACUCCUUGGCUUGCUGAGCCCACAUCAGUCUAACAUGGAGAUUCUUAGCUCAGGAAUGCUGAACAAUGGCCAGAGGAUGGCUGAUCAGGGCCGGCCCAGUGGCGCAGCAGUUAAGUUCGCACGUUCUGCUUCGGCAGCCAGGGUUCGCCAGUUCAGAUCCCGGGUGCAGACAUGGCACUGCUUGGCAAGACAUACUGUGGCGGGCAUCCCACAUAUAAUGUGGAGGAAGAUGGGCACGGAUGUUAGCUCGGGGCCAGUCUUCCUCAGCCAAAAAAGGGGGAUGGGCAGCGGC